GCCCAGUAGGGUGUGCAGUGAGUUCACAUCAUCAGAUCAGAGCAAGUUUUGGAUCGACACGAUAUAAGAUAAACAGUGUAAUGAUCCGCACCAAAUAUUAAAAUAUAUGUAGAGAUUCACUGUUGAGUCAUACACAGCCUACAAGAAGACAAUUGAACUUCAAUGGAAUUUAGUGUUUUAGUAAAAUGAACAAUUAAUAACACACAUGAAUCAACCUUAUAAGUUAUUGUGAUUAGACUGUACAUGGUUCCUGAUGAAUUGCUAAUUUCUACUCUUUUCUUUUCCCCCUUACUCCUGUUUUACAUAUUUUGUUGCUCUCUAGACACAUUUUGGUAAAUCAAUUUUAUUUUGCAAUCUUUUGUUUUGUAACACACCUUAUUAGUGUAUUACAUUUGUUUAAUGUUCUACUGCACAUUUAACUGUGGUGAUGUUUAUUUCUCUUCUGAAACAGGUUACUGCUUCAGCUAUCAGCCACAGUCCAGAUUGUGUUGCAGCCCAACAAAACCAGCACUUCCACAAGUCUUUUUAACGAACCCAAAGGCUCUUAUAAGAGCCACCCACACUAUAUCACAGCGGAUUGGACAUCUUUUUCAUCUUUAAAAGCUAUAAACGCUAAAACGCUUGAAACAAAAAGAAAACUUUUUGAAAGACUCACAAAAAGCUCUUUCUAAGAGCCUGGAAAAAAACGCUUUACAAAAAAACAACGCUUGCUUUGAGCAAAACGUGAACUCAUACCCCAAGAAAACGUCAACUUGUAUCACUGAAACCAAGCAAACAAGUUAAAAAACUGAACGUCAGCUACGGGAACAGUGAAAGAGCUUCAGAGAAUCCCCUCUUCAAGUUCACACUGCUGCCUUCAAGAAGGAUCCCUGCUUUAAGGACAACAUUACCAAAAGAAUAUUAGAGAAUAUCAUUUAUUUUAACCUACUGUUUAGCAUUACAUUUGUUCAAAUUCUGCAGUCUUGUUUAUUAUAUUACCUGAAUUGAUUCCAUAAUUGACACAUUAGUUACGUGUGGUUAGUUUCUGUCUGAUCACCUAUUUAACUACUGCAUAAUAGACAUUGUUUUGGGUGAUAUUUUAUAUACUACAUCAUCUUUGUAAAGUAUUACAAUAGUUGUUUAUAUUGUCUUGUUUAUAACACACACACACACAUAUUAAUUUCAUAAUUGACUGAAUAAUAUUAAUUGUUUUUAAGUUCUAUUUCAUAUAUCAGUAAAAUACUCUGGUUUAGAUAAUUUGUUCUUAGCAUUACGUUAGUUCACUUUCUGUAGUAUUGCUUAUUGCACAUAAUUUUACUAAUUAAAACAUUGUUUUAUA